GGCCCAAGGUGCCCCAGGCUUACCAUUAAGGCUGUCUCAGCCUCAUGGGCUCCUGGCCCUCUCUGAAGCAGUCCUCAACCAUGAUUCACCUUCUCUUACUGGCCUUCCCCAUCAGCCUGGGAAAGUCCUUGGGGGAGACCGAGCUCUCACCUUGCAGCCUUGGCAGCCUGAGCCAGUGUUCCUCAAGGACCUGCCACUCUCAGGGUCUGGGGACCUUUCCAGGCUGCCCCCUUUCCCUCCUCAGCACCCAGACCUCGCUGGUCAAUGGAGGUGAUGAUUGGCUCUUCCUGGGAUUGGCCUGUCUCAGCCCUAGAGAAUCAGAAGUGACAGCAUGCCCAAGGAGGCUUCUGGCUCUACCAGUCUGGGAUUCUCAGGUAUGGAAGCAAAGGCUUGGGGUGGGGAUGCCAUUCUCCAUGCCCAGGAAGAACCACAGGGGCUCUGAGAGAGGGAGAAAACACCUUCCUUUGAGGAGUGGGCUACAUUUCACCUGGGAGGGGGAAGCCUUCCUACUGAGCCAUUAAUGGAAUUAUAGAACUUCCCCCUCAGAGGUGCCCUCUGUGCCAACUCAAACUCCACUGGACGUCUCCUUCACCACCACUCAGAUGCUUCUUGGUCAGAGGGCUCUAAUUGUUAGGGUGCCCUUACUUUCAUCAAGCUGAAGUCUGCCGCUCUGAAAUCUUCCUCUUCCUCAUUUGCCCCUCGGAACCACACAGACCACAUCUUUGUUGCCACAGCAGCCCUUCAUAUCGUGAAAGCCUUGAAAGGCUAAACGUGGAAAAAAAAGUGAGUCCCAGGCAUCAAGGGAGGAGGUAGCAGUUCCGGCUGCCACAUCCUGGGCCCAGCCCCUAGCUCUCCUGCCUCCUCAUCUUUGCUCAGUUAAAGUCAGCAGCUCUGGACUGGACGGAGGGCCCAGCAUGUUCCACAUGCUCAUUCCCUCACUCUGCCUUGGUAAGUCUGGGCCUAGUUUAGGGCAGGGAGGAGGACGUUGGGGGAAGAUCAUUGGUCAGCAGCUUUCAGGUCAAGAGGGACACUGAGACUCAAAGAAAAGUAUCCUGGACACAGCAGAGGUCAGAUAUCUCCGGCUCGCUCCUCUGUCCCUGACCAAGGAUGAAUUAAUGAGGAAAAAGCCUUGUGGGCAGAGGUAUGGAGGGGCAGCUGGAGGGCAAGACAUCUGCAAUCUGGCCUUCUCUUAUAGGGCUAGGCCUUGUCUGGGCGACAGAGGUGCCGAAUGGUAAGUCCUUUUCCCCAAACUCUUCCUCCUAUAGCCUAGCUCGGCCACAGAGCAGCCCCUGAGCCAUUGGGAUGGCAGGACAAAGGUGUAGUCCCUUAGACCUCCGCCUUGGGCUAGACCCAGCUCUGUGGUCUUUUGGGAGAAGCUGUGACCCACUGGUGCCAGGGGCCACUGGAGAAUUGGCUUCCAGCUGCUGAAGGUGGGAGAUGGCAGAGUCCAGAGAAGUUCCAGUAGGCAAGAAACUGACCUCUCCCUUGGAAGAAAGGGAGUCACUGCCAUGUAGAGACUUAGGGCUGCCCCUUUGGGCAGGAGAUCUGAUGGUCAGAACUAAGUGACCCCUUGCAGUGCCUGGUGACACAUGAGGGUGAAUGAGCCUAGAACCUUCUCGGCCAGUGCUGGCUGCCCUUCUUAAGAACUCUGCCCAAGAGACAGCUUUGUCUCUGAUUUAGUCCCUAACCCUGACCUCCUGGGGUGGUUGCUCCUGAGGCUUUGUGGCUUGCUACCGGCCCUUUUGUCCUAACUCGCAAUACCCACAUCUGUGUAUUCUAGCCCUCAUGUUCCCUGUCUCUUCAAGCCCAAGAGAAAGGAAAUUGCUGCUCCCCUUUUGUCCAAAGGGACCCAAGAGAACUAGUCUUUCCUUUAAACCUCUGGCCCUGUCUACUGGGAACAGCAAACCUUUCCACUGAGUCCUUUUCUAACACAGGAAUCCUGUCACCUCCCUACAGCCCAGCCUUUCCUGGAGGGAGAACAAUGAAUUUGGGGUUAGGGGCCCUUAGUUUAAAGUCUCCCUCUUUCUUUCACUCUUGGUACAGCCUUGGGUAAAUGUCUUCACGUGUAAAACAAAGGGAUUGUACGAAAGGGGCCUUUGAGCUCUAGAUCAGGCAUCCCCGGGGCCAUCGUCGUCUUCCGCUUCUCCCACGUUCCUGUUUUCUUGCUUGGUUUCCCUCACCUUCUGCCUUGGCCCCCAUGGUUUCCUGUUCUUGGAAUGCCCUUGCCAGCUGUGUCUGCCCCAAUCCCACCUAUCCCCAGAGCCCAGCUUAGGUUCUGUCUCUUCUAAGCAGCAUGAGAUGGUAGAUGGGGAGCUGGAUGAGAAGUCAAGAGGACUUGGGUUCCAAUCCUGCCUCAGACAUUUUCUAGCUCUGAUGCCCUAGUCAAGUCAUUCACCCUCUCUAUGCCUCAGUUUCCUCAUUUUUAAAAUGUAGCAGUUGGCCUUGAGGACCAGCCCCAAAUCUAUGAUCCUAUGACCUUCCCUGAUGGCUCUCAUCAAUAACAAUGUCCUUCCACGGUUUGCUGGCUGCAUCUCUGUCCUGUAUCAAAGGGUAGCAGGGGAGAUCAGGGAAGCCUGGAUUCGCUGGAAUGGAGCACAGUCCAUGGUACUGAAUGCAUGCUCUUGCUAUAGGCUGAGACACACGAGUUUGUGAGCUGCUCACACAGAGUAUGUCUGAAGUGAAUAUGAACUCGGUGUCCGGGAGUCUCACACAGCCUUCUGGUUGGAGUAUGCCAGUGAUGGGCUAUUGAGAUAUUCAUGACUCAUUCAAUUGUUCUUUGAAUCUUUUGCUUCUCAUGCAGUCUCAGCAGUGGGAGAAAUAAACAGCUGUUCCCCCUGGACAGCCAUAGUGAGUACUUUUUCCAGAAGGGUCCCUUUGAUUGGCUUUUGGGGAGACUCUAGGCACGAGUGAUACCUAAGCUUUAUCUGAGAGAUUUUGCCAGAAUUCUAAUCCAGGGUAAAGCCAGUCAGAAAGAAACCUACAACCACCUCCCUUCUGAGAUUAGUACCCCUGAUGCCGGGACUGAACCUAGCUUGUGUGAAUCCCUUGUUGGUGAAUCAUGUGGGGUGUGAGGGGUUGAUUUGGAACCAAUGCUUAGUUCUUAUUCCUUUGAGGGGAAAGAUCCACAAGUCUUUGGGGCUCAUCUGAAUUUGCUCAAUUUCUUUUUGAGUUAGUGUGCUUUUUCUAGUAUGGGGUGAGUCCAAACCUCCCUCUGCAUUUACUGGAAUCCAUUGAAAAAAUUUAUUAUUAGGUAACAAUGGUGUGUGCAUGUGUGUGUGUGUGUGUGUGUGUGUGUGUGCAUGUGUGUAGAAUUCUCACCCAGAACUGUUUGGUUUCUCGCCCAAAGGUGAGAUCUUUUGGGUGAUCUCAGCUCCCAAACCUCUGCUGUGAGAGUCUCAUAUGGUCUAGGAGUUCUUGGAAGGUCUCCCAGUCUAGUAAAUCAUAAGUUUCUCAGACUAUGGCUGCCACCUAAUGUAGGGUCCAAUCUGAUUUUGAGUCUACCAUUCUGUGGUACCAUGGAGAGAGAGCAGUGUGGUAGUAGGAGGCUGAGAACCAGAGUCUAGACUGCAGAUCUCUGUUUCUUCCAGGUGGGGUUCUACAAAGGGCUGAGGAUGGUGUUCUGGGGGCCAGCUCUAACAUCUCUCCAAUAUAUCCCCCUUCUCUCCUCUGCCACUGCCCGCAUCCUGGUCUAGGUCCUCACACCUGAACUAUUAUAAUAGCUGCUGGGGGCGGGGGGAGUCUGCCUGCCUCUUCUCACUCCCAUCCAUUCUUUCCUCAGCUGUCAAAGUAGUCUGACCAGGUCACUCAGUGAACUCCAGUAGCUCUCUAUCACCUCCAGAAUCAUCUAUAAAAUUCUCUGUUUGGCAUCCAAAGCUCUUCAUAACCCUGCCUGCUUUCCCCAACCUUUAUGAUUUUAUUACACCUUCCCACCCUUGCCCCUACCCCAUAUAUUCUUUUAUCCAGUGACACUGGCUUUGUUGCACUUCAUUUACCAAGAUACUCACCAAGUCUCCCUCCCUGUUCUCUCUCCUUCUCUCUCUUUCCCUCUGUCUCUCUGU